UGGAAUCACCUAAACGUGAGACAAACCGGCGAUCAUCAGAUCCACACAUUACAAUCUCUGCCUCUUUUUAAGUCCAGCUCCUGAAGACGUUCGACUCCCCGCCACCCUUUCCACCUGAAAGGUAUUCCCGUGAAUUUGUUCAGGAGUUGUUUUGUCAGAAUACCAACCGUCGGAGUGUUUGCAUAAGCCGGGCGCGCUACACUUUCAGAGCCAAAUAUCUCUGCACCCUGCCGCCGCCCCUGCAGCAAGUCAAUGAAAUGUGCGGUAAGAGCCUGGUUCCCUCUUGCAGCCAUUUGCAUUUAAAAGGUUUAUUUCAUGGUAGAGGUGAGGGUGGGAGGGUUAAAUGUGUCAUUUUCUGUGUAUUUAUCCGAAGGUGCCUUAGCGCUACCCCGAUGAUAGAAAAGGGAAAGAGAGAGAGAGAGAGAGAAAAAAAACGUCUACUUUGGUAAAGACGCUGAGAUGCUUGUGUCUGCGACUGGUGUCAUUUUAGCGCCAUUAGAAGGCCAAUUAUGAUCCGGCUGGCAUGAAUAAAACAUCUGUUAAAGCCGACCUCAGAACAAGCUUAUAGGCCGCAGAACAGUUGAUGAUACUCUCUGAAUUCAAACGAUCCACGGCGAAAGACUGAGCCGCAACGGUUUCUAAGUGAAAACAAGGUCGCUUCAUCUGUUGAAACAAGCGACACCUUUCAUUUAAAGAGGCGUUCGGGCCGAGGCCUUUUGACUGUGAGGUUUUUUUUUUAUAUAUACAAGAUUUAAAAAGACCACUUUAUCAAGGUCAUUUUAUUUUAUUCUCUAAAUGUCAAAAUGUCUAACAGAUCUGAAAUAUGAAACAGGUUCAGGGCUCUGCUAGGCUGGUCCAAAUUGCAAAUGAAUCCCGUUUUCACAUUUGGGUUAAUCAAGAGAUCGUAGGUGAUUGCUGCCAUCUUACUAUGCAAAGAUGUAGUAAAUGCAUUAUAAAGGCGUGUUAAGCUAUUUUUUUUUUUUGCAGUUUCUAAGUUUAAAUUAGUUUUUAUCAAUCCAAAUUACGAUUCAGUGCAUUCAGUCGAUGGUGUUAGGCCAACUGGUGAAAAGUUACGUCGAAACAAGAUUGAAUCGAGCCGCUGAUGUUUGGGCAGUUUAUUCUGGGCCGUCUGAU